rnacentral:lncRNA from 1 species
UUGAACUGUGAUUGCCUUCUGUGCGUGUAAGAGUGUAAGCGAGUUAGAGUUCUAACCUGAAUCUCUAACAAAGUGGUCCGACCUGUCGGAUCUGUGCAGAGGAGAGAGGGUGCGAUGGAGGGAAGGAAGAACGUUGUGGAGGGGCGAUUAGAGCACAUCAAGAUGGCUGUGGAUGGCAUGAAAGCAGAGUCAACGGCGACUCAGCAAGAAUCUAUUGCCAUGGGCCAAGUGUCCGUCAACGAUAGGGGGGUGGCCGUCACAAUGAUGGUAGAAGAGGAGGAGAUGGGGAGCGUCCAGAAACGCUACCCAAUUGGAGGAGAAGGGUGGAAUUGCCCAUCUUCGAAAGACUCGACCCUUUGAAUUGGAUUAGCAGGGCGGAGAAAUUUUUUGCGAUCCAGAGGGUGGCAGAGGAGAAGUUAGAGUUGGCACACAUUAGUAUGGAAGGGAGCACCAGGUAUUGGUUUAAAUUCUGGCAAGAUAAGGCGAAGGACAAGUCUUGGGAGGGGCUGAAGGAAGCGUUGUUUAUACGAUUCGAGAACCGAUACUAUAGGGGAUUAAUACAUCAGGGAAUUCGAGGCAUUAGCGGGACAGACGAAGGAAUUCACUGAUCACCAACUGUUGGGAUAUUUUCUGGCGGGAUUACGAGAGGAGUUGAGAUGUCAGAUGAGGCCACACAACCCACGAGAUCUAAUGACCGCGAUGAAGAUCGCGCAUGACGUCGAAGAGGCUCUUCGGGGCCUAGAAUUGAUGGGAUGGGCCGGAACCAAGAACCCGACUACAUGGGGGCGACCUGUCGGCGGAGGAGCGGUGGUGGCCAGAACUGAGCCACAGAGAAGCAUUUCGGGAAGAACUAGUCCGGCCGAGAGCAGUGGGUCGGUGAGGCAAGACAGAAUGACGGGGAAUGUGAUGGCGAGAAGCGGAAAUGUCGGCGGCGGGGAGAACAGGGGAAGAAACACACGUAACCUACCAUACCCCGAGUUUCUGAAACGUCAGGAAGCAGGCCUGUGUUUUCGCUGUGGGGGACCUUUCGGCCCUGGCCAUCAGUGCCCGGAGAAGAGUUUAUGGGUGGUGUUACUGGCCGAAGAUGAAGAAGGUAGUGAAGAGGGGAUGGAGGUCAAGUUAGAAACCCCAUGCAUGGGGUUGUCAGCGUUCUCUGCUAGGGGAUUAACCCAGCCCAAGCGCUGAAGUUGCAAGGUCGACAGUGACGCCAGCCAUAACUUCAUGAGUAGACGGUUGGUGGAGGAACUGCAGCUUGCACAGGAGGACACCCCUCCCUACCAGGUGAGUCUGAGAGACGGACAUAAGAAAAGAACCAGUGGAUGUGGAUAUUGCCCCGAAGGUAGUGGUCGACAUGGGGGUAGUGACGAUCGAGGAAAAUUUUACCUUUUCGACCUGGGAGGUGUCGAUAUGAUCCUCGGAGUGGAGUGGUUGGCUAAGCUGGGGGAAAUUACUCUAAACUGGAGGGAGUCCACCAUGGCUUUUAAACAUGCAGGGAAGAAGAUGGUGGUUAAGGGCGAUCCAACAUUGGAAAAAAGGGUGGUCGGACCGGAGAAAUUAAUGAAGCUGAAUGAGGUUGAGGUUUGGGCAAUGGUCUGGAGUUUGAAGGACGAGAAGGGGAGCGAGAAGAAGGGAGAAAAAGAAAAGUUGACUAAAGAGCAAAAAGGAGACUUGGAGAGAAUUUUAACACGACAUGCAGGGGUAUUUCGGGAACCCCAAGGUUUGCCACCUAAUAAAAAAGAAAAGCAUCGGAUUACUUUGAAAGAAGGCACCAACCCCGUCAACGUGCGCCCUUAUCGUUAUCCGCACGCCAUGAAGGAAGAGAUCGAGAGACAGGUGUAAGAAAUGCUACAUGCAGGAAUUAUUCGACCAAGUAUAAGUCCUUACUGAAGUCCGGUCAUCCUAUUCAAGAAGAAGGAUGGGAGUUGGCGAUUCUGUAUCAACUACCGAGCUCUCAACCGCACCACUUACUCAAGUCCUUACUCUAUGUUGUAUCAGUUAGUUAGACUUUUGUUGAUUUGUUGACCGGUCAUAGCACCUGGGGAAGGAGGUUAAGCUCCUGACUAUCUUGUAUUCUUCUUUCUCUCUUGCGAAUACAAACCCAUUAUUCAUUCUAUAUUGAAUUGUGAUUGCCUUCUGUGCGUGUAAGAGUGUAAGCGAGUUAGAGUUCUAACCUGAAUCUCUAACCGGCAUCCUCUUCUCUUUGCUUUUCUUGUUUGAUUGAAUUGUCUCCUCCGUUUGGAAAAAGAUCCUUGGUCUCUUUUAUUUCCUGCAAGCCAUCUUUCACAAUACCCAAACCAAUUUACCUUUUUCUUUUCUUUCUUGAUACCUUGAAGAAGUUAUUUAAUCUCCUUCAAAUCAUGUAGGAUCUCUUUGGUAAUAGACAAAACUUGUCUUCAUCUCUACCAUAACUCUUCCUUGCUUGUAGGCCAAACUUUCCCCUUUUCUUCGAAUCCGGUAGGUCAAACCAAUUUGAUAGGAAUCCAUAAUUGAAAAGAGAAAGAAGAGUAACAUUCUUUAUUGAAUAGACUAAAAAUAACAAAAUAGGAGAGCACUCUCUCCUCCAAGGACUUCUCCUUCACAAAGAGCCAAAGCUCAAACUACAAAAUUAUCAUCCUCCUGAGGCCAAACUUUCACAAUACCCAAACCAAUUUACCUUUUUCUUUUCUUUCUUGAUACCUUGAAGAAGUUAUUUAAUCUCCUUCAAAUCAUGUAGGAUC